CAGUAACUUACAAGCAGAUACUUUUAAGUAUAUAGGUAACAGAACGAUAAUAAAAUAACGAAAAUGUAAAAUCUUAAUUAGGGAAUCAUUUAUUAAAAAUCGAUGAAAAAAAGUACUUAAUAUAUAUGCACCCUUAAAAUUUAAGAGAUUAGUAAUUAUUAACAAUGUUUUUGAUUUUGUGACAGUUAUAACGUAUUAUAACAAUAAUUAAAAUAUAUCCUACAGGAAUAAAAAAGUCAUUUACAAAUUAGGGCGUCACAAAAUUAUUUUAAUAAUACUUAUGAUCUGACUUCACAGCUGUUAAGUGCUUGCUUCUUAUAUAUAUAAAAUAAAUGGAAAAAAAUAAAGACUAAAAUGUGCAAUAUGGUAGAAAAUAUGAAAAAAGAUCCAGAAACGACACAGCUGUAAAAAUGAUACGAGAAUUCCUUUUUUUUAGCAUUAUCAAUAAAACCCAACGAUAUUUGCAUUUAAAAUCUGUACAGUGUUAAAUAUUUUUUUUUAAUAGUUAAACGAAACUAUUUCAACACACGACGAUCUAUGCAAGCUGCUUAGCUAUAGUAAUUCUAAAACAGAGAGAACAAUCAGGUUGUCACUCUAACCUAAUUUUACCCUAUUGACGUUCAAGAUCUGAAACACGAGGUCAUAAAUUCAACAACUAAAUAUAUAAAGAAAGGUCUGAAAAAAGUUAAUAACCUGUUCAUAAAAUAUCUCAUGGGUGCUUUAAAAGGUGCUAA